rnacentral:rRNA from 1 species
GACGAACGCUGGCGGCGUGCUUAACACAUGCAAGUCGAACGGAAAGGCCCUGCUUUUGUGGGGUGCUCGAGUGGCGAACGGGUGAGUAACACGUGAGUAACCUGCCCUUGACUUUGGGAUAACUUCAGGAAACUGGGGCUAAUACCGGAUAGGAGCUCCUGCUGCAUGGUGGGGGUUGGAAAGUUUCGGCGGUUGGGGAUGGACUCGCGGCUUAUCAGCUUGUUGGUGGGGUAGUGGCUUACCAAGGCUUUGACGGGUAGCCGGCCUGCGAGGGUGACCGGCCACAUUGGGACUGAGAUACGGCCCAGACUCCUACGGGAGGCAGCAGUGGAGAAUAUUGCACAAUGGGCGGAAGCCUGAUGCAGCAACGCCGCGUGCGGGAUGACGGCCUUCGGGUUGUAAACCGCUGUCGCCUGUGACGAAGCGUGAGUGACGGUAAUGGGUAAAGAAGCACCGGCUAACUACGUG